AUUGAACGCUGGCGGCAGGCCUAACACAUGCAAGUCGAACGGUAACAGGAAGCAGCUUGCUGCUUCGCUGACGAGUGGCGGACGGGUGAGUAAUGUCUGGGAAACUGCCUGAUGGAGGGGGAUAACUACUGGAAACGGUAGCUAAUACCGCAUAACGUCGCAAGACCAAAGAGGGGGACCUUAGGGCCUCUUGCCAUCGGAUGUGCCCAGAUGGGAUUAGCUAGUAGGUGGGGUAACGGCUCACCUAGGCGACGAUCCCUAGCUGGUCUGAGAGGAUGACCAGCCACACUGGAACUGAGACACGGUCCAGACUCCUACGGGAGGCAGCAGUGGGGAAUAUUGCACAAUGGGCGCAAGCCUGAUGCAGCCAUGCCGCGUGUAUGAAGAAGGCCUUCGGGUUGUAAAGUACUUUCAGCGGGGAGGAAGGGAGUAAAGUUAAUACCUUUGCUCACUGACGUUACCCGCAGAAGAAGCACCGGCUAACUCCGUG
rnacentral:rRNA from 1 species